rnacentral:lncRNA from 1 species
AAAACAGAUUUUGCACUCUUUAAUUAACCUCUUUUAUAAGUUAAACUCUGUUUUCGUGUAAUCAAAGUAAGUGUCGGGCCAAUAACAUGAUCACCACCAUUGACAAUACUGCCUCUUUCCCCUUUCUAGUCGGGCCAAUAACAUGAUCACCACCAUUGACAAUACUGCCUCUUUCCCUUUUCUAUUCCCCUGCAACAAACGGUAACACAUUAAAGCACUUUAUCACUAGAUUCAUUAAACACGCAAAGGUAAAAGAGAGUAACGUCUCUAGCAUUGGUAUCAUCACAUAUGUUAUCUGAAUAUUAACAAGUUCAGUAUCAUCACGUCUGUCCAUUUU